CCUACGGGUGGCAGCAGUGAGGAAUAUUGGUCAAUGGGCGCAAGCCUGAACCAGCCAAGUCGCGUGAGGGAUGACGGUCCUAUGGAUUGUAAACCUCUUUUGUCGGGGAGCAAGGCCCGCCACGUGUGGCGGGAAGGAGAGUACCCGAAGAAAAAGCAUCGGCUAACUCCGUGCCAGCAGCCGCGGUAAUACGGAGGAUGCGAGCGUUAUCCGGAUUUAUUGGGUUUAUAGGGUGCGUAGGCGGAUUUUUAAGUCAGCGGUAAAAUGUCCGGGCUCAACCCGGGCCGGCCGUUGAAACUGGGGAUCUUGAGUGGGCGAGAAGUAUGCGGAAUGCGUGGUGUAGCGGUGAAAUGCAUAGAUAUCACGCAGAACUCCGAUUGCGAAGGCAGCAUACCGGCGCCCGACUGACGCUGAGGCACGAAAGCGUGGGGAUCGAACAGGAUUAGAUACCCGAGUAGUC
rnacentral:rRNA from 1 species